AUUGAACGCUGGCGGCAUGCUUUACACAUGCAAGUCGAACGGCAGCACGGGCUUCGGCCUGGUGGCGAGUGGCGAACGGGUGAGUAAUGCAUCGGAACGUGCCCCAUUUGUGGGGGAUAACUACGCGAAAGCGUGGCUAAUACCGCAUACGCCCUGAGGGGGAAAGGCGGGGAGUUCUUCGGAACCUCGCGCAAUUGGAGCGGCCGAUGUCAGAUUAGCUUGUUGGUGAGGUAAAGGGACUCACCAAGGCGACGGAUCUGUAGCGGGUCUGAGAGGAUGAUCGCCACACUGGGACUGAGACACGGCCCAGACUCCUACGGGAGGCAGCAGUGGGGAAUUUUGGUACAAUGGGGGCGAACCCUGAUCCAGCCAUGCCGCGUGAGUGAAGAAGGCCUCGGUUGUAAGA
rnacentral:rRNA from 1 species